AUUGAACGCUAGCGGGAUGCCUUACACAUGCAAGUCGAACGGAGUGGCGAACGGGUGAGUAAUGUAUCGGAACGUGCCCAGUAGCGGGGGAUAACUACGCGAAAGCGUAGCUAAGACCGCACACUAUUGGAGCGGCCGUUAUCGGAUUAGCCAGUGGGUGGGGUAACGGCUAACCAAGGCGACGGUCCGUAGCUGGUUUGAGAGGACGACCAGCCACACUGUGACUGAGACACGGCCCAGACUCCUACGGGAGGCAGCAGUGGGGAAUUUUGGACAAUGGGGGAAACCCUGAUCCAGCCAUCCCGCGUGUGCGAUGAAGGCCUUCGGGUUGUAAAGCACUUUUGGCAGGAAGGCGGUACCUGCAGAAUAAGCACCGGCUAACUCCGUGCCAGCCGCCGCGGUAAUUC
rnacentral:rRNA from 1 species